rnacentral:rRNA from 1 species
GAUGAACGCUAGCGGCAGGCCUAACACAUGCAAGUCGAACGGUGUCCUCGGACAUAGUGGCGCACGGGUGCGUAACAGUUAUGCAACCUACCUUAGAUUGGGGACUAGCGUUUCGAAAGGGAGAUUAAUACCGCAUACGACAGUAACUGGCUAUCAAGCAGCCGUAAGAGAUCUAUCGAUGUAAGCUGGGUAUGAGUCCAAUUAGGUAGUUGGUGAGGUAACGGCUCACCAAGGCAAUGAUUGGUAGGGGAACUGAGGGGCAAAUCCCCCACACUGGCACUGAGAGACGGGCCAGACUCCUACGGGAGGCAGAAGUAGGUAAUAUUGGGCAAUGGACGCAAGUCUGACCCAGCCAUGACGCGUGCAGGAUGAAAGCGUUAUGCGUUGUAAACUGCUUUUAUUCAGGAAGAAACGACUCGUGCGAGAGGCAUUGACGGUACUGUAUGAAUAAGCACCGGCUAACUCCGUGCCAGCCGCCGCAGUAACAC